rnacentral:misc_RNA from 1 species
GAUGAAGAACGUAGCGAAAUGCGAUAAGUAGUGUGAAUUGCAGAAUUCAGUGAAUCAUCGAGUCUUUGAACGCACAUUGCGCCCUCUGGUAUUCCGGAGGGCAUGCCUGUCCGAGCGUCAUUGCUGCCCUCCAGCCCGGCUGGUGUGUUGGGCCCCGUCCCCCUUCCCGGGGGGACGGGCCCGAAAGGCAGCGGCGGCACCGCGUCCGGUCCUCGAGCGUAUGGGGCUUUGUCACCCGCUCUUGUAGGCCCGGCCGGCGCCAGCCGACCCCCUCAAUCUAUUUUUCAGGUUGACCUCGGAUCAGGUAGGGAUACCCGCUGAACUUAAGCAUAUCAAUAAGCGGAGGA